rnacentral:lncRNA from 1 species
CAGCAGGGAUCAUGUGCCUUCGGCACUUCACGAUCACAGCCAUCAAUUUCUCAUUGGUAUUACGUGGGCAAAUUGCAGCCUACUGAUGCGGCGAUAAUCGCCUAUUGACACCGUGUUUGUAUUGUACAGAGGAACAGUAUUAUACAAUAAGGAGUCCAAAUCCAGAAAAUAAUAGAGUCUACAGUGCUGAGUGCAGCACAAGACACAGAAUGGAUGGAUUGACGCAAUCAUUGGGCAGGUAGAUGGAGCGGCCUGGUUUGGUUAUCUUCCUUAUUUUUAGCACCCGUCGCAUCGAAUAUUUAGAUACUAAUUAGGAGUAUUAAAUGUAGACUAUUUACAAAACUCACUACAUAAGUGGAGGCUAAACGGCGAGACGAAUCUAUUAAGCCUAAUUAAUCCAUAAUUUAACAAUUGUUACUACAGUAAACAUUUGCUAAUGAUGGAUUAAUUAGGCUUAAUAGAUUCGUCUCGCCAUUUAACCUCCACUUAUGUAAUGGGUUUUGUAAAUAGUCUACGUUUAAUACUCCUAAUUAGUAUCUAAACAUUCGAUGUGACACGUGCUAAAAAUAAGCAAAAGGAACCAAACACCCCGCAACAGAGCUGUACAGGCCCAGAAGACUUUCAUCCCCGCUGCACACAUCAGGGACUUGCGGUUUGUGAUUGCUGUACAGGAGCCUCCUUUCGGCGUCAGGCCUGACUUCAGUUGCAGACAUCACCCCGCUAGAAGCCUUGCCUGCAGAUAAGGAAACUUGCAGUUUGUGGCUGCUGUUGUCUUCGCAUCAUCAAUAGCAAUGCUAUUUGGAGUAAGUUGCGAUUUGUGAUCCCUGUUGUCUUUGCAUAAUCAAUGCCAAUGCUUCAUGUUGGCUGAUUUCAAACUCCACGUGAUCUGUUUUCUAACUGUGGGUAGCUUGCAGGCAUUGGAGAUUUGAGAAUGGCAGACUGGACAUGCUUUGCUGUUUGCUCCAAGUAUUUUGAGAUGAUUUGCUUAUGGAUCAGCUGACAACCUCAAGUAUAUCGUUUGAGUUCACAUGGCUAUGGCUGGUGGUAUCCUUUUGGGAUGAAACAUCUAUUACACCCUUCAGUAAUCUGAUCACUUCACUGCAACCGUCGACGUAGUAGUUAGCUUUGCUGGCCUUCGGACCAACGGAGCAGGCGAAGACCUCCGGAAUGGCAGGAAGCUCAGCAAGGGAGGUUGCUUUAUUGAUGCUCUCAAACAUGUCCUCAUCUGAUCGGUCGUUACCGAUGCACAUCAAAAGAUCUGCCACUUCCCCUUUGCUUACCAGUGUCCGAAUGAUCUUGUCCACAGCAAUGCCCUUGCUGACUCCCUGUGUUCAUGAAUGGCGCAUUAAUACAGUUAUUUCAACCCUCAACAAACAUCUAUGCCUAAAAUACAACAAAAAGUUAUGGAAUAUCUGAAAUUGUACAAACCUGAGGUUUAACUUCUACAAUCUGAUGACCACGCUUCACGACAACAGGUUCAUUUGCUAGGACUCGCUCCAGAUGGCUCACUAGCUCCUUUGCCUGGCAGGAGCCGAAAUCAUGAUCUGUGUUCUGAUAAUGCCACACUAGAGCACUCUCCUUACAUUCUAUGGAGGACCCAUCAGUUGUUUCUGUGUAUACAUGCAUGACAGGAUCCGCGAUCAGCUUCCAUUCAGAACACUGACCUGAUGAACUUGUUUCCCAUUCAGCUGCUUUGUUCCAUCUGUGAACAAACAUGGUUAAUAAUCACACAAAUGAAAAAAAAUCACAUAACUGUGUAUGAACAAAAGAUUCUUUGGUCACUAUAUGGAUACCUGAUGAAGUAGCCAUGUUCAGCAGCAAUACCAAGGUUCUCACAUGAAUCAAACCACUCACUAAGGGAAUUUCUUCCUCUUCCGCUAACUAUAAAUACAGUGUUCUUAGUAUCAUUGCACAAGCUGUUAAGGAUUGAAAUGACUUCUGCACUUGGAGCUUUGUUGAGCGAUGACUGAGGCACAAGAGUCCCAUCGUAGUCCAGAAAUAUCACUCUCCUGUUAGCCUUCUUAUAAGAUGAAGCAAAGUGUUCUAGAGACAGUCUUCUGAACCCAGGUGAAAGAGCAAUAACUCUAAAAUUCAAACCAAACCCAGUGGUCCAACACCUUCGGCUAUCUUGCUCUUUGCACGUUCUCUCCAGAUCCUGGUCAAAGCUUCGUGCCCAAUAAGUAACAUCAUGAGAUUUAACAUAGCGAUAAUGCUUCUCAUGGCGCUGAAUCUUCUCAAAUUGUGUCAGGUCUGUUGCACUAUACAAUGCAUCAGCCACAUCUUCAACGCUCCAAGGAUUUACCCUGAAAGCUCCACUAAGCGACGGGGAGCAACCCACAAAUUCAGAAACAAUCAGUGUGCUUGUAUGAAGUGAGCUCUUAUCAGAACCUCUGAGCUUAUCGAUAUCCUCAUUUCCCUGCCUGCAGACGGUGUAUUCAUAUGGUAUUAAGUUCAUGCCAUCCCUCACAGCGUUUACAAUACAACAGUCAGAUGCAGCAUAAAAUGCAAUCUUUUCAUAGAAAGGAAUUGAAUAGUCAAUAAGGACAACAGGCUUGUAAUUAGCAGAACCAUAUUUAUCAUUUAUCCUUUGAGCUACUGAUACAGCUUCAUUUUUUGCUUCCUCAACAUCUUUUCCAAUGCUUCUUGCAGGAUUAACAAUCUGUACAAGGACAACCUUCCCCCUAAGCUUAGGUGUUCUCUCCAAAAGAAGCUCCAAGCCAAGCAAUUUAAGACUGAUACCUUUAAAGAUAUCCAUGUCAUCUACACCUAAGAUUACCAACUUUCCCCUAUAUCUAUUCUCGAUUUCUUGAACCUUGCUAAUUGUAACAGGCAACUUCAACAUAGACUCAAGCCGGCCAACAUGUACACCUGCAGCGAGAAUCUUGAGGUUCACUGUUCGACCGAAGUACUCUAUACCAAUGUGACCACGUUUUGACUCAUAAUUAAGGCCUAACAGCCUGCUGCAACAUGAAAGGAAGUGACGGGCAUAAUCAAAUGUUUGAAAGCCAAUAAGAUCAGCAUUAAGAAGUGACUUUAGGAUUUCAUCCCGCACUGGCAGUGUUUUAUAUAUCUCAGAAGAGGGAAAUGGGCUGUGGAGGAAGAAACCAACUUUGAUCCUGUGCAGCUUCUUUCUUAAAAAGGUUGGGACAAGCAUAAGGUGAUAAUCAUGAACCCACACACAGUCAUCAUCUGAAUUGACUGCCUCCAUAACUUUGUCAGCAAAGAUUUGGUUGGCCCGCACGUAGGCUUGAAAAAGGGAGCGGUCAAAGAGUUCACCUUUGUCAUGGCAAACAGGAAGCAUAUAAUGGAAAAGUGGCCAUAAGUGCUGUUUGCAGAAGCUGUGAUAGAACUGCUGCUGGAGGUCAGCUGGGAGAAAAGUAGGUAUGCAUUUGUGUUCCUUGAAGAGCUUCUGAGAAACUUGAUCUUGCUCACUGGGAUCUACUUGAACAUUCAAACUACCCACAUAAAUAACUUCACUAUCAAUUGGAAAGCCAUCUUUAAGUUGAACAAGAAGUUGAUUAUCAUCCACUGCAAAGGACCACUCUCUGGUAGCUUCAUCUUUCGUACAGUUCAGAGGUAGGAAGUUUGCAACAACAAUCUUUCUCGUCAAACAAGGAGGCGCAGAACCAAUUAAAUUGCUACCAUUACUACUUUCCCAAUCAGGGUCAGAUCUGAUGCCAGGAGAAGUCACCGCACAAGGAAGAGAUCUAAGAGGUUGUUGGAAGUCAAAUACAUCUUCACUACAUAUAUCUAGCAGAUUUGAAAACGAAUUCAAAACCAUGAUUCCUGCAAAGAAACACGAAAGAAUACCAAUAGUUAGGCCUUUACAACAACAAAAACAAAUUGCCUGCAUACAUGUGUGCAUUAUUAAGGACAUAACUUAUGAUAAGAACAUAUGAACGUUCUAGCACACACCAUUUGAUUUCUCAAACAUAAAAAUACAUGUCCUUCAACACAGUGGUCAUCACUUUCAUUUGCCUAAAUGGCUGUUUAACCUGUUUAAACGCUACACGGUGACCAGCUGUGUCUGAUUAAACUGCGGCUUAAUAUUCAUUUGGCACAAUCAUUGGCUAAAGUAUGGGUGACUGACCGUUUAUCGUUUAGUGUUUAGGUGAACACUGAUCAUCACAGCAAAAAUACAGCAAUUGAUUAUCUGAACUAAAGGACCUGGAAAAUCAAUUGUAAAGUUAAAGAAAAAAACAGCCUGUGCCAAGAUACACUCAAAGUCAAGUUUGAUUUGUGAAAGACAAGGAAUGAGAAUAAUAGUCCUCAGCAAGCAGUUAUCCAGGCUAAUUGAUCUAGUUAAGGAAAAAUUCAUGUAACUGCUACUCGUUUCCAGUAUUGGCUAACAUGUAUGGGCCUGAGCUUAUUCGCAUUAUUCACUCUCAAUUUGCAUUGGCUAUUUGGACACAGGUUAUUUAUUAGACCAAUAAAGUGGAUAAAUAAUUUAUGGGAUAAUAAAUUAUAAUAGAAACACCCACAAAUAAAAUCAAUUUCCAAAAAAAGAAGUGCAUAACAGAACAAGAGCUUCUUUGGAUUUACGAUUUCUACAGAAUAACACCGAGCUAAAACCAAAACAUGAAUGACCUAGCUGCAUGUAAACAUAACGUUCUGCUUCAGGGAGUACAUGCGAAGCACAUAAAAAUAGAAAUCACGAUACUACAGUUUACACCCUAGGUAUUUCAGUGCUAUACUUGAAAGCAUAUUAUUAUUUUUCCCAUGAUGAGCUCUCCAUAGUUCCAGGAUAAACCGCAUCUACCUUCUCAUUUAGGACCACAAUAUCCAAUCCAACCAUCAUUUAAGAAAAUGGACCACUCUCUCCUACCAAUAUAACACAAAAGGACAAAUUCGGGGACCACCUUGCAGCAACAUGACGCAAACAAUACUUAAACUAAUCAUUUCCACUCACCAGUCACAAAUGAGCACAAAACUACAAUGCCAUACCACCUUUACUAAUGUAAUGCAUCUUCCUGCUAGACCUGACAUGCCAAUCAGGACAUGUCAUCAUGCCAGCUGAACUGGCUCACACAUAAACUUCAACACCUACUUGGUGAGAUCUGUUAUUUGUCCUAUUACAAAACAGUGAUAUGGACAAGGCAAGAUGGUCAUGGGAAACUUGAGCUUAUAGCAAUCCUGCUCAUGCUAUUUGGCAAUAGCGUGUCAAAUGCAAUUGGAUUUGCCAUUAAAUAAAAAACCAAUCUACUGCAUGUUCUGUUACAAUCUUGUACUGCAGGAUGAUUGUUGCCCAACCUAUACUAUUUGGAAUCGAUAUCAGGAUAUGGUGACCAAGCUCAUACCGCAAAAGGGUAUAGACUGAAAUUAAUAAAAUCGAAUCUUCCAUGCGUUAUGUCUUGAUGAUUAAUUAGCUGAGGAGACAGCACAUGAUGCUGCCUAGUAAUGGUGAGGCCACAAGUUAAACAUAACAGCCAUCAUGUGAGACAUCAGUCAGAUAAGCUAGUAGGUGUACCGCUUUAUUGGGAAUUCUGAGGUCUAGAGGUAACAGAAGUUCAACUGUGUCUUAUAUAUAAAUUUGGCUACCACUCAAAGCAAUUUCAUACACGAACAUAGAAGAAGAGUGCAAGAUACAUCAUGAGAAAAUUUUGUGGCAGUUCAGUUGUAUCUUUUCUGCAUGUGAAGUUAUUGGCAAUCUACCAUUAAACCAUUAAUCAAAAUCUAAAGUAAAUAGCAAACCAGGAGCUAAUAAGUAAUAACAGAUAAUUGCAUUUGUAUACCUACCUAAUAACAAAGAAUCGCAUUAAUCAAAAUCUAAAAUACACAUCAAUGUUCUUAUCGAUUGGCAGUGAAAAAAAAGAGGAUCAUCCGGACAUCUAGUGACGUAGAUCCAGUAGGGCAGAGGUUAAACGUUUUUCACAUAUCUAUACUAUUGAGGAUUGACCAUUUUCGAAUGAACAACAGAACAAAGCUUGCCUAAGUAUCGAACACGGACUGACGGUGGUGUUCAGGCAAGAACCUGUGACUCCCCUGCCGUCAUGCGGCGGUGCGGCCUGUGCCCAGUGGCCAGAGCUGCCGGGUGCCGACGACGGCCUGCCGCCCAGGCCUGCUGCCGGGCCGCCUGCCGGAGCAACCCCCUCGACCCUUGGCGCUCGUGCCGUCGCGGGUCCGGUCGGCCGUCCGCUGGCGGCUAUAAGAACAGAACUAAGCCGGCUCACCGAAAGAUUUUAGCGAAAAGGAAGAUUUUUUUUUUCUUUUCGCAUCAAUAUCCAUAAUUCCUCAAAGAAGAAAAGGGAUCACAUGGACCUUCAAAUCAAUCGGAAUCUAGCCCCAAAUAUCGCUCCUUUUCUAAUUCAAGAACAAAAAACACUUCCGUAAUCUACGGAAUCAACAACCGCAGUCAAAAGCACAGCCGAAUGGGUCAAUGAACAUGCAGAUCGAGAAUGAGCGGAAGCGUUUCUUACCGCCACGAAAUCAGCCUCCCCUUCUUGCCCUCUCUUCUAUUCUAAGGUUUGUUCCUUCCACUCAACACAGGAGAUAGAGAAUGAGAGGCAGGCAACAAGAAGGCAACGAGCACAGGAGAUGUUUGGAGAUGGACGGAAAUGCUUCCUGGCCCUGGCAGUCUGGCUCGCGAGGUUUUGUGGAUUCGGAGGUUUUCUUUUGGAAGAUGGCAACUGUCCGGUUGGAGGACGAUUAUGCCCCUGGUCGUCGUGCCGAUGUACGCGAACGCACCGCGGAUAAGAUCGCGCUCUUCUCCCCGUGACGAUGAUGAUUGAUUACUAUAUUUUUCACGUCUCCGUUUUUCUUUGAACUGCUAUUCUAUUUCUUUUUUAAGGAUAUUUAUUACAAUUUAAUUUUAAUAUCUUGGGGAGAAAUUUCAGGUCAGAUUCUUGGGUCUUGCAGGUGUUUUGGCUAGAAAUCUCCACGCGGAAUUUGAAACAUUGUUAUUGUCUUCGAAUUUCCGCGUGGACUUGGGCACUUGGCUGUGGAUUAGAUCGAUGUCACCCUGCAUUUUAGAUUUGAUUUCAUUUUCAAAGGUUAUGCGAAGACUUGGGCGUGGAUCCCUUUGUUGUUGUAUCUGAAUGUUCAGAUGAAGGAUGGGAUCAAUGAUGGGUUGCUCUGGAGACAGAAAUGUGAAAUAAAUACUAAAUUACAAGAUGAUGUGGUUUGGUUAUGAUGUGUUUGCCUACACUAAUUGACCUCCUCUUUCUAUUUGUGUAACUUUUUUAUUUACAUGGAGAAGUUUUCAAAGCUUGGCAUCAAGGAUUCCAGCUAAUGGUAAUUAACUUUGUUUUCUUUCUUUUCUUUCAAAGAAGUGAACUUGUAAUUUCCUUGCUCACGACGAACAAGAAUACCCUCCACUUAGAUUAUCAGGAUUCAAGAAGAAAGGAAAUAACCUUUCGGUGCCUUCUUGCAUAAUUCUCUCGUUUUCAUACGGCUGGGAUGACAUGCGACGAAACCUAAAAGCGAGCAUGCAUUUCGGAUCAAGGCUGCUCAUCUGGACUCCGAAGGCAGGCAGGGGCUGCGUGGGUGAUCAUUUUAGGCUAUCUUACUGGGAGCAUUAGUGCUUGUUAAUCUUAUCUUCAACUAGCAAAGAUGGUUAUCUAGUUGGACACUACAACUGGAAAAGAAAAAGGGAAAAAGAUCACCAUCACCUGGCACUUAACAGCGACAUCUAGCUUUUGAAAGAUGAGAAAGUCAUCAGAUCGACAUUAUGUUACCGGACUUUUAGUAGAAUAAGGCUUGUGCUCUUCUAUUACACGGUGUUAUUUUUGGACACAUAUGCGAGAUUUGGGACACGUUUGGAUCUUUACGCUAACUUUGCCUAACAAAACUAUAGGUGAAGAAACAUGUAUGCUUGGUAUGUUGUCUUUCCAAGCCUUACUUUUGAGUUUUGACGGUUGGCUUUGCCACGUUAGCAAGGUAAAUUUUUUUUCUUACCCAAGUGUUCAAUUAAACAAAACUAGGGUCAGAUUGAGCAGGUAGCCUUGAAUUAGAAGACAUCUUUUUGGAUAAUGGAAACUGAAUAAGAAGACAUGGAUCCAUGGACUCUGUGUCUCUAGGUUAACGGAUCCAUGGAUUAUGCAGAGCACAAUUCCUUCUGUGCUUCCCUUCUAGCCUUGUAAAAAUACAAAGAGAUACCUCUCCUUUUGCUUGCAGAUUUCAAUAUUUAAUUCACAUUGGUGGAUCACAAGAUCAUUUUGGAUGUUAGUCAUUUGUUGAAUCUUGCUCACGAUAUAUAAUUUUGCAAACAAGACAUCCAUACCAUGCAUCAAGGAUUAUUCGUCACUGAGAUACUCGCUCUGUUCCGUAAUGUAAGUCGAUUUGGCUUUUCCACAUACAUAGAUUUUGCUAUGCACCUAAGUAUAGGAUUAUAUCUAAAUACAUAAUAAAUUCACGUAUAUAGAAAAGUUAAAACGAAAUAUAGAACGGAGGGAGCUUCAAAGCCAAAGCUGUCAGUAUAAUCCACCGGAUAUUUUGCCUUGGCCCUCGACCAAACAAAUCGUAAUCACAAGGCCAUCUUGCUACAUCUAGCUUUGUUUGGAAACUAGCAAGACAUAAAAAAGAGUAAGCUGGCAUCUGGCACAGGGGUAAUUGUCAUCUCGGAUACUACUACGGAUAAUUAGCGUCUCGGAUACUACUACGGAUAUGGAAUCUUGCUGCCAAUCGAUAAAAUAUGCGGUCGGAUAUUCCAAAGCAUCAAUCCAAGGUAAUCGAAGUUUUCGUAAGUUCAUUGUAAAUGGAGAAUACCGAAACAGUCUUUUUUUUUAAUUUCCAACGGGAACAUUCUUAAUAUUGAAGAGCAAACGGAGAGCUAAACUACCAUAUAUACACACAUUUGAAUGAAAUCUAGAUAAUUCCACUGAAGUCUCUGAUUAAUGAAAACACUGAAAGUAGCCUUUUAAAAGUCAGGAAAUUUCGAUAAAAUCGAAAAAGGCUUUACAAAAGUAUGUAAAAUUUCUCUAAAACAAUACUAUCAUUAGGAACAGAAUUAUAGGUUGGGGAAAUUGCCUCUUGUUGGAGCCUUGGAGGCCAUGGAUGAACCUGUGAAGUGAAGGAUGCAGGGGAAAAGGUAAAGUCAGUGCAUCUUGGAAGACUAAGCACUCCAACUCCAAGCAUGCGUACCAAGACCAUCCUCUGCCCCCAACCGUACUCCCAAUUCAGUGUCGGAUAAUUGGGCACGUAGCACUGUAUUGUCACCGUCACCGGGACAGCAUUAUUAGAAAGAGUCCUGGCACAACACUCAAGCAAACCUUACGUGAUUACAUGAAAACUCUGCUGAAAACAACACCUGGAAUGGCCAGACCAUUUCUCAGUCCCCUCUGUUCUUCAGGAAACUAUACGUGCUGGUAUGCACUACAAGUUUUGAUAUUCAGAAAUGGAGUCAGACAGGCCUAGUCAUCUUGUGCCUCGUGUCGUGGAUUUGUUGGCCACAGCACUUGGCCUCUGUCGUCUUCUAAGUUCCAAGAACAGCAUCUAUCUCUUCGGAGAAGCAAAGGCGGAUUGCCUCCAGAUUGCUAGGGCCUAAAACCGCAUAAAUCAACUGCACCUAAUGUGUUCCAUGGAGAUUAGGUGCAUGACUAAACUUAUUAAUUUUAUUGCUUGAGAAUUCUGCUGUUCUUUAGUUGAAACUUCUUUAUCUAUACCUAUGGCAACACUCUGAUGAUUCGGAGGCACAUGGAACAUAUUAGUAAGGAGUCUGGAAUAGCUAGUUGACUUCUUGGACAGCUGCACAAAGAACAAACACAUGCAGAUUGUGAGAUUGACGCACAUGAACCGAUCCAAAAGAGUUUCUUAGAACAGUAGGAGUGCCACUGCCAUCAAUCAUUGGACAUUCCCCUGAUGGCAAAAUAGAGCUCAUUUAGGGCUGAAAGCUUCCAAAGAUAAGCCAAGGAUAAUGCUUGGGAAAAAGAUCCGUAUCAGUUAUUCAUAACCUAACGUUGGUGCCCUGCCCACUGGCAAUCAUAUCAUACUUGAGAUCUGGUUCUAACAUGGAACAGAAUUGAUUACGGGGUCACCUAGGGGAACUCACCGAAGAUUGGACCAUCCAGAAAUGAAAUUUGACAGCAUGAUCAUCAUUAGAACAUUUCUAGCGACAUGAUCUCAGUAAGAAUUAUGUAAUACAUAACAACGAAGUAAACACAAGAAUUAUGUACAAAGUGGCAUGUGGAGGCCAGGCCCAAUAUUUGGCAUUUGCUCCACUGCAUUAUUUGAAGAGUCAACAAAUGCAAGGAGCAUUUGGAUACACAUACACACUAGGGAUGAUGGCAGAAACAUAGCUGUUCAUACAGAUACAGCCUCCACAUAUCAUACAAACAACUGAAGACGUGCCGAUCAAAGGGUGAAAUGAAUGGAAAAUCGAACACACACAGCCAUGUCCGCGGCUAAAAUUCGGAGCAGAUGGCAAGGGGCAGCAAUGAAUUCAAUCAGUACUGCAGUACAAUCUCUAAACUACCAGCUGGUACAGCACGCCAUCCAAGAGACCAAGAUUCAAGGUUCAGUCUUGUGGCGCGAUUGUAGCAGAGUCCCAAUCAGACCAUGUACGUCAUACCGACACGCAUGAUGUUCGAGUGGGGGACCUUCAGGGUCGCGGUGCCAGCCCUGCAGUUCCUCCUGAGGAAUGCGUAGAAAUAGUUGAUGAUAAACUUCUUCGUGAAGAAUGACUCCUUCCUCGCCCUCACGUCGCCAUGAGCUAAGAGAUACGUGAACCCAGAUGCGAUGGCUUCUCUCAGAGCUUCCAGCUCGUACUCUAACGCAGGGUCUUCUUCUGCAGACAUGGAGCUGGAGGGAAGCACAGGAGCAUUACCAUCUCUGGUGCCCAUUCUGUUGUCAUCACCAGAUCUCUGAUCAGAAAGCAGUGGAGUUUGCAGAUCGCCUUCACAAGCAGGAGACUGAGGCACCUCAGAUACAACAGAUAUGUCAUCACGCUCAGCAUCCGUUGUGCUUGCCUCAAGCGCGAUUUCCUGGGCUUCCCUCCUCAAAAAUUUCUCAAGACUCUCGACCAGAAGCUGCUCAAAGAAGCCAUGAUCCUCCUUCCUAACAUCCUUAUAACCAUAGCGCGCGACGCAGCGAAACAUAUGGUAGUCCUUUUGACCAACCCUUCGGAACAAGAACCUUUCUUCAAGCGGGACAUAUGGGAUCGGAACAUACUUUAUGCAAACAAAAACGAUCGUGGAGUGCAUUGCUGGCAGCGUGACCAACAGUUGGCCAAAGAUUGAUGGGAUUCCCUGGACCAAUUCGUUGUACACAAGUCCAAUGCCUGGAACUCUUACAGUCCCGAGUGUGGCUCCAAGGUCAAGGAUGCAGUCCAGUGAUAUCUUGCCCCGCAUCUCACUCUGAUAUUUCAACACACUUCCAUAGUUCCAUGUGUACAUUAUGCAGAGAAACAGUGAUGAGAAAGCCAGCGGUAACCAACCUCCUUCUUUUAUCUUUGACAGAACGGCGGUUAAGUAAACAAACUCCACUGUGCCAAAAAGAAUAGGAAAGAACAGCACAAGAAACAAGUUGGUUUGCCAUAUAAGCAUCAUCACCAAAGUCACCAGUACAGUGCUAACCAUCAUGACACCAACUUCAGCAAUACCUGAAAGUUCAAAGAAAAAAGAAGGUAAUUGAUGCAAAAGGGACAAUUGUUUAGUAAAAAUAGAUAACUACAGCCUAUGGGACUACAUUACACAUCGUUCACAAAUCUCUGUAGCAAAAUCCACCCAUAGUAGUAGCAAGUCUACUUAGUCACAAGCUGAUUAUCGUGAAACAUAGUACAUGAAAUGGACGGAUUUGGGGGGAUUAAUGUUUCAAAAAAAUACUUAAAAGUAGCACGAGAGAUGCAGUUGUAUGUUCCUUGAAGAUCAAAGUACUAACCAUAUGCAUUGGCGAUAUCAUUGGUACUUCUGAAAGCAGCCACAAUGAUGAUGCACAUGACCAUAAGAAACCAAUUCAUCACAGGUAUGUAAAUCUGACCCAUGACUUUCUUGGAAGUAUGGAUUAUCUUAAUCCUAGGAAAGCAACCAAGAGCCAUCGCCUGCUUUAUGCAUGAGAAUGUUGCAGAUAUCAUAGCUUGGCUGGCAAUCAUAGCAGCAAGUGUAGCAAUCACAAAUACUGGCCAGAAUAGAACUCCUGCUUUGCAGAUCAAAGUUUAGACUUAGUGAAACUCACACAAAUAAUUUAGAGUGAUUAUAACCUAGAUCAACCUGAUAUAUUUAUUACCAGCUGAAAGUUUUACCUGGUACAGAGUCAUAAAAUACUCUUUGUACAGCAAGUGGAUUUUUCAUCAAAAAUGCAGCUUGUCCCAUGUAAGCAAUAAGCAGACAGGGGAAUACAAUAGCGGUAAAUGCUAUCUGGAACCCAAAAAGGAAGAAGAAAAAAGAGUGGUGAAACUGAGUGUGUCAGAUAAUGAACAAAAUGUACAGGAUAUCAUGUAAAAACACACAGAGAGGGAGGGGGUUAACCUGUAUUGAUUUGACAGAGAAAUGGCCCAAAUCAGCAAACAUUGCUUCAGCUCCUAAAGUUAUAAAAGAUAAUGAGUUAAGUGUACAAAUAUUUUUUUUAUGUCAGGUUUUUAAUGAAUGAUCAAAUCAAUGGAAAAUUUCUUGACCAGCAUAAUGGUAAAAGAUGGUAUAGCAAUACUGAACAAGUGAUGGAAACUCUACUGAAGGAUGCAUUGAUGCAAGGUACAAUGGUACAGCUGAGGAAAGAGCAUUUUCAUCACUCAUGAUAUUGUCUGUUCUUGUAAAAGCAUUAUUGGUAGUGUGAUGCAAGAGUUCAAAAAUGUUGACUGUUGAUAACAAGAAUAUAUUUGAAUGCAAAAUCAGCCCUUCCUUCAAAAGACGCCAAAAAUAAGAGAGGAAUGCUGUUGCUGGAGAAAGGAGGCACCUGUGAUGCACAGGACACAACCACCAAGAGCUGACCAUGCCUUUAAGCCGUUUGUUGCGAAAAACAAGUAUAUAUACACCGGAUUGAAUGCUCUCACAACAGAUAUAUCAUACUUAACAAUAUUAUAUAUUCCAAUAGAGCCCAAAUUAAGAAACCAGAGUCCCAAAAUAGGAGCAAACAUGAAUCCAACUUUGCCAGUCCCGAACCUCUGCACGCUAAACAGUAGCACAAGAACUAUGAUGGAGACUAUUACAACAGCAUCUACAAAAAAAUAGAGGGUGGAACAUAAGGCACAAAUAUUCCUUUACCAAAUAAUGAAAAGAUCUAUUUGGUCAGUAAACCAAUGAAAAUAAAAGGAAAAAUUGCUGUAGAUAUUAGAAUACGAUUGAAUAUGGAGUAUCAAACCUGUAUCGAAUCCUCGAACUUGACCCUGGAGACCACUGACAGCAGACAUGACUAAACACAAGAACAAAGAGAGGGUCAGGUGCGAACAGCGGUUACAUAACAUCUGUUAAUGGAGCAAACUAGGAUCACAUAGUGUAUGAAACACCUGACAUUGACGGAGUGAGAAUGCCGUCACCAAUCACCAUAGAAGUUCCCAUCAGAACUAAGAACAGGAGAAUGUUCUUGAAGAGCGGUUUCUUUUCUAGGCAGUCUUUGACAAACAUAGCACGCUCAAGUUCGGGAGUUGGCAACUUAAGCCUAAAACUAGAUAUAUCUUCAUCCACACGCUGCUGAUUCGGAAGCAGGCUAACUUUUGCAUACCUGCAAAUCAAUGAAUACAGUGCAAAAGUGCCCCCUGCAACCAUGAGAAGGUACAGUCAGUAAGUUAACCAAUCCACAACCUAGAGAAGGGCAUACCAGCCAAUGGCAGUCAUGAUGUACUGAAACCAAAAUCGCACAUUGCUCAUCCUACCUUCCCCAUUGUCAUUAGCCUUGAGCACUAUAAACACGUAUUUCGCGAAAGGUAUUAACGCGAUCGUGUACAUGACCAGCGAAAGUGCUCCCAGGAUCUCAACCUCCGACUUUAUGGGCACCUUGCUGAACACAUCGCUGAAGACGUAGAGAGGGCUCGUCCCCAUGUCUCCGUAGACCACGCCGAGGGUUUGAAAAGCCAUCGCGAUGGUGCUCACCAUCGAUAAUUCCUGGCGAAAAGUGGAGCUCAGAGGUUUCAGUCAUUGGGAUCAUGCAUGAUUCGAGUCCUAGAAUAUUAGCAUCUGAAGCGCACAUGUUCCCCACAUCCCAGACACGGACAAGGAAUCCAUGGAUAGCUGAAUACAGAAGCAGAGCCGAUGCUAUCACCGUAACACCUACCCAAAAUUGUUCCAAAGUUCAUCAAGACGCAUCUAGCAAGCCUCAAGCGAUCGCCCCCAUUCAUUGCGCUAGCCAAGGAAAUGGUGAAAGCUCGCAUUAUUAUUUCCAGUUUCUCGCCACACGAGAGACACGCGAGCGGCUCCAUUCCCCCGACGCUAUACCGAGGAUUUCGAUUCGCGGACGCACCUUGCUGCUGUGCCCGUGCGCGCCGCGCACGUUCAUGGCCUCGACGUCGAGCGAGUCCACCCGGCGGGGCCGCUUGCCGAGCCGCCGCCGGAACGUGCCGGAGGACACCCGCGACGCGGGGGCCCCGGCCGAGGCCGCGGCGCCCCACUCGGCGGAGGUGGUCGCGCCCGAUCGCUCGUCCCCGAGCGACCACGACGCGGACUCGGACGAGUCGACCUCGCUGCCGUCCACCCAGCGCGAGCCCCCCGAGCGCGUCGGCGUCAGGAACCGCUCCGUCGGCGGCUCCUCCUGGAUCCCGCCGUCGUCCAUCGCGCCGCCCUCCUCCUCCUCCUCCGGCGGCCGCUGACGGGUUCGAGGGUGGCGGGGGCGCGGAUCCGAUAGAGGCGGACGGAGGGGUGACUGACUGGGCGAGCGAGCGAGCGCCGAGCGAUGCGUGCUCGUGCCGAGCGCUUUUGCUGUUUUGGAUUUUCUUCCGCGCCGUGCAAUCAAUUCUGAUAGGGCUGUACUGUACGGCUACGAUUUUUUAGUGGCUCUCGGGUGGCUUUUCUCCGUUUGUUUAUGCAAUCGGAUUAUCACGCUGUUGUUUUUUCUUGUCAGUUUUUCUUGUUAGAAAAUUGCAAGGGAUCUUCCGGCGGGUUGAAAAGCAUCUCUUACAACACGUAGAAAAGCGUGAUUUAUUUUAUCUAGGGACUAGUGUGGUUCAUUGGUCUACCUUGUAUUGCAAGUUUUUUUUUUAUCAAUGGAAUGACAGAACUAUAUAUAAGAUUAAGACUUGCGACUAUAAGCUUUCCACAUUUGAUAGCUUUAAAUGGUCCCUAUAAAAGGAUUUUAUCAAUAUGUUUUGUUUGAGCGACUUUUUUCUCAGUUCUAGUGAGAGGAAGUGUUCCUAUAAUUUACAUUUGUAACCAUAGUUUGGUAGCUUCUCAUAUUUAAACAAGAAAAUAUGAAAAAAAAUAUACAUAUUGCAAAGUCAUAUAAAGUACUGUAACUUUGCACUUUUUUCCUUGAAUGUGCAGAAAAAUUUUGUAUCAUCAUAUUGGGAAUAAAAUAAUUUCUUAUAACCGGACAACACAACUCUAAAGAAUUGAUAGAGACUUUAAAUAAUAUAUACACUUGAUAUAUGGUGGUUGUGAUCCUGGAUAUGUUAUAUUCACUUUUAAGGGGGUUUCAUGCUUAUCGUGUGUUUUUUGUUAUCUUACGACUAUAUUCGAUUCUCUUCCUAUCUGUAUUUUUUGUUAUAAUUUUCCCAGCAUUGGCCCGCUUGUACCGGUGGUUGUCACGGAUAUCUAUAAUGACGCUGACGCAUGGCACGAAAUGAUUGGAGGGCCCACCGUAACGAAGCAGCAUGAGGGUGACCGGUGGGUCUGUCAGGGAUUGGCCCGCUUGCAUUUGGGGACGGCAUCUUCUGAUCUGUUCCAAUGUGACGCAGCCAGGGUGAGGAACACGAGGGAACAGGAACUGAUGAGCUGAACACUGGGGGAAUCCGAUGGGCCAAUCAGGCCCAGUCCGAGGGGUAGGUAAGAGGAGAAGGAAGAUGUGCCCAGGCCGGCCUAUGUGGAGACAUGCUGCUGGGCUGCUUCCUUGGUCGGCCUGCACGCGCUCCGGUUGGCUCUCAGUUUCUUCUGCCCACAGAUUCUACGUCUUUAUCUUUACCUAAUAUGCCCCAGUAAAAAAACUCGAUGUAAAAACCGGAGAGGUCCAUCGCACCUGAAGUGGAAAAAACCGGACGAGCUGAGGGUCCACAGCAGUCAAGCGCACCUAAAAACAAUAAAUAUGGGCACGUGGGGUUUGAACCCACCAUCUCAAUCUUCCCAAGAAUUAAUACCACACCUUGACUACCGUUUGUUUGUGUUAAUUAAACACAUUUACAUUUAUGUAAAGCAAACCAGUUGUCCAACCAACAACCCAUGUAGAAAGGUCAGCUGUUCAUCGGAGGUAAAAAAAAAAUUGGCAUCCAAUGAAUGUACAUAUAUGCAUUUUUUUAAACUCAAAUUAGCUAUUUAGUUUGCAAACUUUAGGAUCAUUUAUUGAUGUUAAAGAAAUAUAAUAUGUAUGGGAGUCGAUACAUACUAGAAUAUAAAUUUACUCCCUUCGUCCCAGUACAAGUGCACUGGUAGGAUUUGAAAGAAAAAUUAGUAUGAACAGAAAAUGACAGCAUAGGAAACAACGCUUGAUGCGAGGCAAGCAGAAGCUAGCGGUGAGGAAAAAUCGGAACGAGCUGUGGAGAAGAAACAAGAAUGUUUUAGACUUUUCACGCGGAUGGCUGAUAUACAGGUGCUUCUGGCCUACAUAUAGCUGGAACAUUAUUGGACCUAUAGGCUCCAGUUUGUAUGUUUAUUUUGGGAUUUUUUUGAACUGUACAAAUACAGUUAAAUUGGGAUGGAGGAAGCGCAACAGGCUGGAACAUCAUUGGAUUGAUAGGCUCCAGUUUGUGUGUUUAUUUUGGGACUUUUUUGAACUGUACAAAUGCAGUUAAAUUGGGACGGAGGGAGUACAUAAGGUUAGAAAUGUUGCACACCGAGUAGCGUAGGUGCAAGUUGGCCAUGCACUGCUUAUAUUGAGAAAUAGGUCCACCCUUGCUAAUAAUGCAUGUAGACUACGCUCACACAAUUGUGGUGCUUGCUAGACUGAACCAUGCAUGUGUCAAAUAUAAUCCUCACGUACUCUAAGAUUAAAAUUAGCAUGGUUGCAUGGUACGGUAUAUUAUGCUUGUACCUAUUUUUGUUACUAGAAAUCACUUACUUAAAUAAAAAGUUUAAUAAAUAUGAGUAGAAAAAGUAUGUUAAGUCAAAAUUCUAUUGAUUUUCUAGCAAAUGUAUAGAGAUCCGUUGUAAUAAAUAUAGUAGUAGAAAUAACAAUACACGAGUUUUAGAAAAUACAAUCACAUUUCACCGUAGCAACUUACGGGCAUUUUGCAAGUACAACUGAUUUCUGAACAGCUAGCUUUUCAGAGAAGCUGUAUCAAGCAGUGCCUAUGCAAGGAGGGAUCCUAAUAUGUCAGAAACCGUAGCACCCAAACCAAACUGUGGCGGCGGCUGCGCUGCUGGUGCGGCGACGCAUCGGCAGCCAGCAUCAGCUGCCCCAUGGUCAGGAUCACAAUGAUGCAACAGACGGCGGCCAUCUUGUUGAGGGCAGCGGCGGAAGCCAUGGCAAAACGUUAACUAGCUAGCUGCUAGAUGGCCAGGUGGAAGGUGGUGUCGCUACUGACAGAGAUUAGAUGUGUGAUCGAUAGAGUUGGUGCGAGAUGUGUUGAUGAAAUGUUCCACUAUUUAUAGAGACCCCAGCUAAUGCGCAAUUAUCACAAGUGUACUUGCAUGUCUCUAUACUAAAUGACUAAUUGACGACUCCAACUAUUGGUCAGUAUAAUUCAUGUGAGCGAUCAGGGCAUCUCAACAGUAUAAAACGAUGCAUACAAGUAGGCUGGAACUGGAAUGUAAUCGAGGCAAACGGAUCUCCGGAUCAGAGCUGGUGGUGCGUCAUGUAAUGCGUCUUUGCAUGGUCUUGGCUGACAUUGCCCAGCAAAGGACGAAUCAACCACGUCGGAUUUUGGAAUCGUCCACCGCGCGCGGCUAAGAGAUGUGCUCAUAUCAUCAGUCCACUAGCUAGCUAGCUUCUGGUAUAACUGAGCAGCGUGCAUUCAAUUUUUCUUCACGGGAGAACGAUUUGGGCAGCAGUAUGUUCGAUUCAUCUCGUUUGAGAUCAAUUUCGGCUGUGAGGGGUUCCAUUUCAGGCAAAAAAAUAAAAUAAAAGGACACGGCCUCUUCCAGGAAUAACAUCGUUGGCAUAUGAAAAUCACGAGAGAUGCGCAGAUCUGAUUAUCUGAAGGGUGCUCUGUCCUAUCCAGGUAUUCAGCCUGUUAGUGUUCUAUUCAUGAUGAAUCCUCUCCGUUUUGGCAUUUUUCUGAAGCCUUAGAUCAUUAUGGAACGAUGAGCAUGGGAGGAGAUGGAAGGGAGCUCGUGCGCUGGUUUACGAAGAAGACGAACAGUGCUAGAAGACCGAGAAAUAUUUUACGCGGAGACAUCGGAUGGCAUUUGGACGCCAUCUGUAACAUCCGUAUUUUUAUGAGAUAUUUGUAAUUGCAAAAAUAUGAAUUUCAAAAUUUUUGUUGUUGGUUGAGUGAAAAUUCCAAACUAUAAGAGUGUCUUCAUUAAUUCUCUUCCCAAAAUCCCCAUAUUAAUUUGAAUUAAAUUGAAAAUCUAGGGUUGAAUAAUUAUUAGUGUGCCUUUUGGAUUUUUAUUUGGCUUUUAUUUGGAUUUUAAGUGAGUGAAUUCAAAUUUGAAUUCUAGAUUCAAAUUUGAAUUAAAACUAAACUAAUCUAAACAACCAAACCUAGCUCCCCUGGCCCGCUAAACUCAUCGGCCCCUUUAACCCCGCCGGCCUGCUCCGCUUGCAACCCAAACAGGCCGGAGGCCUGUUAAGCCGGCCCAAACCACUGCCCACCGGCCUGCCUUCCAGACUCCUCUCUCCCGCGGUCGCCACCAGCCGGGCCCCACUCGUCAGCGGCAUGGGGAACUGUUCCCCUUUCUCCUUCCCGCGGCCGCACGCGCAACACAUGCGAGCGAAAGCAACAGCACCUCCGCGCACUGCAGCUCCGCAGCAGCGCCGCUUUUGCGCUGGCACGCGUCGAUGGCUGCCAUGGCACCUUCCCUGCAUCGCCGCCAUCCACCCACGCUCACAACCCUAGCCGCUGCCUACUUAAACUCCUGUGCCGGCCGCUCCCUGCCCUAGCCACCCUUGGGGAAAUUCCCCUAUCCGCCGCUAGUUAGAGGGGAGGAGGAGGUGUUGGAGAAGAAGGAGAGGGACCGAGAGAAGGAAGGACACCCGUCGAAGCUCCGCCAAGCCGGUGCCCCAUCUUCUCUGCACGGCCUCGACCCACCACCACAUCACCUUGCCACCACACCGCCGCCAUCGCCUUUGAGCCACCAGGUGAACGCAGUGACUCGAGCCCGCACGUUACCUACGCGAGCGCCGCCGCGUUGCCGCCGUCCGCGCUUUGUCCGGCCUUCGUGCCGUGAGCUUUUGUGCAGGUGCCGCACUGCUGCCGUCGCCCGACCGCGAUGUCGAGCACCACGAGCCCGGUCCGCCGGUACGCCUAUGCGCCGCGUCGCCACGCCGUGGCCAUGGCUAGACCGCGAGCCUACGUGUGUGCGCAUGCCUAGCCGCAACCACUAACCGGCCAACCCACGCGAGCGCGCUCCGCGCACUGCUACCGCUCCGCCGCCGCAUGCCGCGGCCAAGGUUCGGUCUUGGCCCGCGAGCGCGCCUGGCCGUCGCACGGAGCCAAAGGUCGAGCCUUUAUACCUCCUGGAGCUGCCGCCGUGCUACCUAGGACCAAGCUGCUGCCUCUCGCUGGUGUCCGCCUACUAACACGCCGUUGGCCAAGCGCCGCCGCAGAAUGCCUCGGGGCAUUUCGCCGAGCACCUCGCGAGCGCGCCCAAAAUCCCAACUGGGGGCGGCCACACUGUGGACCACACGUAGACGUGGCCACACGGGCUGCAGAAGAUCCCGCACCGAACCAACCCAGUGGCAGCCACGUCUUGAGCCACGUGGACCGCCACAUCAGCUUAACGGUCACCCUAUAGCUAUCCUAUAGCCGCCUAUAGCCCAUACGUGGACGCUGAGUCAGCCGCCAUGUAGCUAACACGUAGACGCCACCUAAGCAUAAGAGCUAACUAACUGACAGCCUAUAGCCAACCUAUAGCUACCCUAUAGUUACCAGGAUGCCACGUCAGCAUGUGGGACCCACUGACCCGUGGACCGGUCAACCUUUGACCAUUGAUUGUUGACCAAGUCAACGCUAACGUCAUCUGGGCCCACCGAUGAUGUUAGCAAGACGCGUGGAGCGCUCUGGUGCUGCCAUGUGUCACGCUAGUGAUUUUUCUUAUUUUCACGAAUAAUUUAAAAAUCCAGAAAUUGAUUUUAACUUCAAAAAUUCAUAACUAAAUCAUCUUAACUCCAAAAAUUAUGAAACCAGUUUCAUAAUUUUUCUAAAAUCAUGAAGCACAUCAGAGACUAGUCCUUGUUCUUGUUUGGGUCUUAUAUGGAUCUCUUUUGGUUUUUCUUUACAAAUAGACCGUCGGUAAUUAUGAUAAUUGUGUAAUUAGAAGCUGCCGAAAACUUGGAGCUGAACCUGGAGCCGGAGCCAUUCGAGGAUCACUAUGAGGAGGAAGACUACUCAGGUUCACAUCCAUUCGAUUUGAAUACCCAUUAGGCAUUGCUAACUAGUAUGCUAGCGCUUUACUUCUUCGCAUGAUGAUGAUAGACCAUGCAUAGCCUACGUUAUGCCCUGAAUCCUUGUUCGACCUACUACCAUACUAAUUUUAUAUGCUAUGUGCGAUGCUUGCAUGUGUAUGGGAUAUUGUGAUUAGGAUUCUUGGCGUGUGUGGGGUUAAAAUCACCAGAAGAAGGUGAUUUUGGGAUACUUGACGGGGGUGAGCUUUACACAACCCAAUCUUUAGAUUGGGGGCUUGGGGUCUGUUCUCGGACGUUCCUUGUUUGGUACUUGUUGCGAGUACAUGGUUGAGGAGCAUAGGAUUUGGGGUGAUACCUGUCAUGGGUGCCAUCGCGGACCACGUUGUGGAGUCACUUUUGGAAGUUAGGAGCUCGCCCCGGUCUGAAACCGAGUGGGUCGCCAUGCUUCACGGGAAUAUGUUAAACGUGCAUACCACUCACCAAAUUAUGGGUUUAGGCCUGGGUCGAGACUGGCAAGUGCGGUACCAUACCUGUUGUAGGAUAGAGUAUCAGUGUAGAGGGAGUGGUGUUGACCUUUUGCCCCCUAAUUUGCUUUUGCCCCCGAUUGGCCCCGGUGGGAGUGCUUCACAGUUCCGGGGUGGUCCAAUGCGGGGGAUCGCAUCCGAGCCCGGUUGCAGGAUAGUAUCAUAACUCUCAGGUUCUUCGCUCGGUAGGGUGACGUUCUCUCGAUCGACGGACCGUUUUGGCUCACUCCGAGAUGGGUCCAGGUGUACACACUCUGCAGAGUCAAAACUAUACGUAUAGCCGCGUCCUCGGUCAUGGACAACCCUGUGUCGCGAUGACUCUUCAUUAUUUUGGGAUAUCUCUACCUCCCCCUUAGUGCUACUUGUGUGUGAUGUGAGCCGCAUCUGAUGUCGGGAAGAGGGGAAGUUGCUCCCUUUCCCUUUUAGAUCCGGCUGUGUAGUUGUUGAGAGCCAAAGAGAGGGAGUCUUCGCCUCGUCCCUAGUAUGGAGUUAUGAUGUUGGUGGUAGGGACCCUUUCGAGGUAGGUGUGCCCGAUGUGAUGAGAUAUUGGGAUGAUGGAUAUGGAGUUUUAUUCUUUACGCUUGCUGCCGCAUAGGAAACCUAAGCCUAUUCCUUGGCUAUAUUUUUUACCCUUAGUGUUAGGCUCCUUAAAGCUUGCAUACGGAUGGUGACGUGGACCUGUCCCGAUCCUUGGGGACAACUUGUGGGUUUGCAGGUUACGAGUCCAACUUCGACAACAACUAUGAUAGGUGGUACGAUUGAGGGUUGAGUGCUACGCUCAAGAAUGCCUGUGGAGAUGAUCGUGAAGAUGGAGGCGCUUCCAGAAGCUAGCUACCGCUGCGUUGGUUUUAUUCGUGUCGUUUAGCCCAAGGAGCAUGUACCGGAUUGUACUCUCAUAUUCUGGGAUGUAAUAAAAAUAUUGUACUGCUAUCGUUGUAUGGAUGUGAUAUUAUGCUGAAAUGAGUUCUGUAUGUGAUAGCUACUGAUUUAGGGACUAUCAUGAGGAUACAGGGAGUCGGAUUCUCCCCAUGGAAAUCCAGUUCGUUUCACCAUUGGUUUUGCAACUACCAAAGUUGCGGUCACAACUACAACUGCACCUGAUCCUGGUCCGGCCCGCGCCCCUCCUCCUCCUCCACCACCAUCUCUCUCUCCCGAGUCCUGACGAGCGACGGCCGGGCGAUCUUGCUAGAAUUCCAGCGCUGCCCUACCCUGCGUUUCUAAGGCUGGACACUAGGUACGUGCAUCACCCUCAUACAUUCCUCCCUCUCGUGUGACUUCAGGUACCUUAAACCCUACAUCUAACCUAAAAAAUUCGUGCGGCGAGAGACAGGAAUGUCGAAAUCCAGUUUUGUGCCCCAAGUCUUGUGAUACGACGGUGUAGUGUUUUUUCUUGGUACAUCCAGCUGCUUACAUGCGGCCAUCUAAUUGGAACUUUACUUCAGCGAGUCAAGUUCUUUCAUCAAGAUCGCUUGAUUGGAUGGUACAAUAUUGGUGUUAUAAUUAAAAAAUAUUGGUCUUCUGUAUACAAUAUAUGUUUACAAACCCUCUUAAAGAAUUUAGUAUGAUUUCUAAUCAACAAGCAGCGCUACCAGAGUACCAGAAGCAUAUGGAAUAUCGUCCUUGUGCAGUUUCAGAUUAGUUCCAUAGUGUUCCUUUUUUAAUUACCAAGAGCUUGUUUCAGUGCAGCAUAUUAACAGCUAUUGCCUUGUUUCUCAGUAGGCUCCAUUGCCCCCACCUGCGUUUUAUGUUGCAAAACCUCCCUACAUGUUUGCAUUUCCUCUUCUAGAUGGACAAGAGGAAAUCUAAAAAAUGUGAGUUUUUCAUUUGUGCGGCUGCAUAUACGGCUGCGCGAUUGCUUCUAUGGUGGUUUUGUAUGCUCGGUCUAGCUAGACUAAGUAGUAGAAGAGAACAUGUUACAUAUAGUCCAAUGGAAGUUAAAGCCUAGGUUUGACUACCUUAGUACCAUUUUACUACAACCUGCACCAAGAAAAAGAGGCUUAAGUGAGCUCUUUUCUUUCAGUUGUGUUUGUGGUAACACCCUUUGCUCCGUGAUGAUAUCAUACAUGUAUGUUUUAGGGGAGCAAGUUGGCACUUUAAAGUUAGACACAACCUAAGGAAUAGGCUAGGCAUCAGGUCUAACAGUGCACGGGCCUUUUCAUGUCAGCACUCCAUGCUAUAGUUGAUACUAUAGUUGAUAGCUGAUAGUUGAGCUAAGGGCUUGUUUGGUUCAUAGGACUAAAGUUUAGUCCCUGUCACAUCUAAUGUUUAGAUACUAAUUAGAAGUAUUAAAUAUAUGUUAAUUACAAAACUAAUAGCAUAAAUGAAGGCUAAUUCGCAAGACGAAUCUAUUAAGCCUAAUUAGUCCAUGAUUUGACCAUGUGAUGCUACAGUAAAUAUGUGCUAAUCAUGGAUUAAUUAGGCUUAAUAGAUUCGUCUCGCGAUUAGCCACGGCUUAUGCAAUUAGUUUUAUAAUUAGUUCACGUUUAGUCCUUCUAAUUGGUAUCCAAACAUCUAAUGUGACAUGAACUAAAAAUUAGUCUAUGGAUCCAAACACCCCCUAAGAAAUGAUGCUAUUUGGCCACCUUCUUUGGGAAUCCCAACCAAAAUUAUCAAUGUUGGUGUUUUAGGCAAAUCAAGGACCAGCAACCCUGACAUAAGGCCAUUAUUAGCGUUCCUGAUUAAUUGCUUGGUUAUAGUUGUAUAUUGUUGCUUCACCACUUAUGACCCCACAUUUGGCCCUUUGUUUUAUUCCUAAAAGAAAGUUUUGCUUCAGUAUUGAAAAAGAUGCGGAAAGCUAAGAGGGGUGGUGAUGAUCUUACUAGAAACUUUCGUAAGAACAGAAGAGCUUGCAAGAAUGACUCAUUGGUGUCAGGUCUGCUAGAUCUUCCUCUUUUCUGCUAGGUUUCCCCCACAUUUUCACAGCUUCAUUUAAUUAUUCACAGUUGCCUUAAUGUUUUAUUUCCGUCAACUAGGUUGCUUCUUUGGGGAAUCUAAUCAAGAUGUUUGGACUGGGCUCGGUGAUGAGCUAAAAUCAUAUUUGUCUAAACAUGUCGCCUCUAUUACUUUGUGCAAUGGUGAUUAUAUAUAAACUUAGUCUUCUCAGUUUUCUAACAAAAAUAUAUUGAAACGCCAUCAGUUAUAAACGAUUUAAAUUGCGAUCUUCUGUAGGAAACACGAUCUUAUUUUCAUGCUCGGGCAUAGCUAUGCAAUGCCAGGAGCGCCAUCUUAAAAAGUUUUUGACUUUUGCAAGUUUGGUUAGAGUUCUCAAUGGUACAAACAAAGACCAUGAUGACUUAAAUGUUGGCGCUGAAAAUCAUCCUUUACUAAUUUGUUUACUUCUGAUCAUUAUGCUCAUUUCUUGCCGUAUCAUUUUGUAGAUUCGAGUGCGCCAUGAAGGCAAUGAAGUGUAUAAAGGGGUUGUGGCUGAAUUUGAUUUAGAUCACAACUUUGCUGUUGUCGAUGUCCAUACCUUCCUUGACGUUCAGGUUGGACCUUUCCGUUGUGCGCUAGAAAGUCUGCCCCAUGGUGAGGUAUUAGUUGUAGGGUGUGGCAUCUCUGGCGAAAUAUUGGCCAAGAGUGUGGUAUUGAAUGGUGAUUCAAGAGUAUCUGAGGAUGAUGAAGAUCUCAAUUGUAAAAUCUCAGAGGUACACUUGCAUGACGAUAUGAGCAUUUUUAUUCUAUUUCUGCUAUGCAUGGAGGCAAUAAAAAUGAUAGUGACUUUUUUAUUGAACUCUUGUUCUAUGCAACUUCAUUUUUUUCAAAUGUAACCCUUGUUGCUUGUCACCUUUAUUGUGUUAUUAGGCUUGGGAAGGUGGGGCAUUUCUUUCUGUUGACAGGAAUGUUGUUGUCAUGAACCUUUUUUUGACUAUGAGAAGAACCGUUUUCCUACCAUGGGGUACAAUUCUCAAGCAUCUGGAGCAUCACUGGACAUCCUAGCAAAAGAAGGUUUACAGGUAUGUCUAAUCAAAGUAUGCACUUGAUUAGUCCAUUUACUCUGUUCUACCCUAUCUUCUCCAGAAAGAGCUUAUAAGGUAAGCUUUUUUGCGUGCCAGACAAUGUACGUUUGCAAUAAUCUGGAUCAUUCACUGCUAUUCCAUAGCCUAUUUGGAAUCCAUGCUUUGCAGUUCUCAAUGUUUACCAACCAAAAUAUUUGCUGACCUUUGGCAUGCAUCACAGAUUCACAGUGUCCUAUACUAGAUUAGUCAUAUUUCUUGUGCCAAUGUUGAAAACUGUAUUGUCUUAUUGGAAUCUGCAUUAUGAUCAUGUUUUCAUGAAACAUUAUCCACACGACUUGUGGUCCUCAUUUCUCUAUUUCCUUGCCAAUUAUUCUACCCAUUUAGGUUUUGGCACCAUUUUGCUCAUUAAUGCACUGGUUUGAUCCAUUUUACUUUUGGGUUAGUAGUCAACUAGUCAUUUUCAUGUUCUGCAGGUUUGGAGCAAGAUCCGUAGGUGAGAAAUCUAACAGCCAUCCAGAAGGUGAGCACACAGGCACACCUUGAGACUGCUUAACGUUAUGGUAUUAUGAAAAUUGUUGCAGUUCGUAAUGGUGCCUAUUUAGAAGCUGUACAAGUUUAGCGAUUACAUUUGUAUAUCAACUAGUCUGGCCCUCACUUGUAGUCUUGUAUUGUUAGAUCUUAUCAGUUAACAUAUGCACACUAAAUUCUUGGUUAUGUUCAUGCACGCUGACUUCUAAUGUUGAUUGUUGCUCAGGCUGUUAUCAUAAUAUAACUAAUGUUACAUGCCGAUCAGAAGAAUUUAUGUGGAUUUACUUUCCAUGUAUAGUAUUAUUAGUCUAUGUCAGUGCUGAUCACUUGACCUUGCUGCACCAGUACAUGGAGAUUUUCUCGACCAGGAACAGUUAGAUCUAGAUUCCAUGGACUACCCUAAGUUACCAUCAACCAUGUCACGAGGUGAGUUAGUGUUUCUAAAAUUUGCUGACCUUUUACAGCUCUCCUGUACCACUAACAAAUAUUCUACAAUUUAUAUUUCUCCAGCUGGCAUGAAUUUGGCUUAUACUUUUGAAGAUACUUUUGGCAACAAACUUGGUGAAGGUGUCUGGAGAAAAUUCAGUAAAAGAACUUUUUCUACCAUAGAUCUCAAUGUUGUCGCAUUGGCUUCAUUCAAUGGUGAUUUACAGCGAUGUGCAAUUUACUAUUCCAUCUCUGUUUACAGCUAGCUGAUAACCAGAAUCAUGGUAUGCAGAAGAAAAAAGGUUUUUUUGCAUGCACUGGUUUUUUUAUUGAAUGGAAUGGAUCUAUGAUAAUUUUAACAUCAGCAAGCUUGGUUAGAACUUCCGGUGAUGAGAACAAGAUUGUAUAAAACUUGAGGGUCGGUGCUCAUUAUUCUGUGACUGAUAUUCUUUUAAGAUGCUGCUUAAGUCUCACCACUUUAUUAUUUGCAGAUUGAAGUGUUGCUUAACAACCAAUGCAAAGAAGGGACGUUAGAGCAUUAUGAUCUACAUAACAACGUUCCUCUAGUCAGUGUCAAGAAUUACCCUGCUCUUUGCCCAUUAAAUACUCUGGUGGAUUGGGACAAGAGUUUUAAAGUAGCAGCUGUAGAAUGUUGCUUCAAAUCAGGCGUGUUAAUGGCUACCAGUGGGGAUAUGGUUUCUUGGUUAGGCACUCUUGAUUGUGAGUUCCUCGUACGUUCCACGUGUAAAAUCAGUAAGGUAAUCCUCUAUUUUUAUUGCACAAUUUUUCAUGGUGAUAAUAAAUACUCCAUUUUUUCCCUAUAUAAUGCGUAAUUUGACUGUCCAAAAGCAAGCUUUGUCCAUAAAUUCCCCUGAUAUUAUUUUCCUUGCAAUUAAAACAUGGCAAUCAGAAAGUACUUUGGAGUAUUAAUCUAAUGGUAUCAUUAUUUUUUUUUGACAAAACAUAGAUAUUAUUAGAUUAAUCAACAGUCAAUGCUUGAAAUUGGACAGACAAAAUACGCCCUGUAUUUCUGAACAAAAUAUGUAUAUAGUUGCAUCGGAAUGAGUUGGCUAGCAAUACCUAUUUGGAAUGGAAAUCACAACUUGUUCAUAUCAACUUGCUAGGCUGGGAUUGGAGGCCCUCCUGUUAAUCUUGAUGGGGAUGUUAUUAGCAUGAACUUCUAUGACAAGAGAAUAGGAACACCUUUCCUGUUAUGGGAGGACAUUUGUGAAAUUCUAGCAUACUUUGAGACAAAAAGUAAUUCCAGUGCACAUCACAUAUGUUCUUUUUUAGAACAUUUUAAGAAGCUUGCUGAAGCAGGUAGAUUUAUUGGUAUGCUUGACAGUAAACUUAGUGAAGUUGGCAAUGACAGUUAUUGCUCUGAUGCGCCCUGUAAACUGCCUGGAGACGGCAAAAUUAAGUUAAACAGGUUGGAAUUCUGAUGCAUGCUGCUAUAUAUUAAGCUGGGUUAAGUUUUGGAAAUAUAAAUUAAAGCUGAACUCAACUGCAGGUGGCCUGUGCCCAUGCCACGCUGACGUUAUUGUGAUGAGGAUGAAUCUGGGCUUUGAACCCAAAUCUGACCGGAAAUAUGGUUAUGUUAACGGAGAAAAAGUCGAGCUUUUUUUGGUGAAGUCACAAUUGGUCGCCCUAUCCCCAUCAUUGCUGGUUUGAGAUGGCAGAAUUGACCUGUGGCUUGCCGAAGUCUUGUGAUAUGUGAUGUGUUUAGAUUUGUUUGUAUGUUGUGUAAUAGCAUGCCUUGGUAGUUAAGUUACACUGCCGUACUUGGCAGUCUAAUGUUUGUGUUUAUACUGCCAUAUCGGCAAGAUACCUGUACACUUCUUUAGUUCUUUUAGAAGCUGUAAUCUCCAUAAUGCAUAAUUUCUUCGUAUGGGCCCAGACAAAGUCUCCUCUCUGCCACGCUCUCCCUCCCCUCCGUGGCCGGCCCCGCCGGCCACCUCCAUCUGCUGCUGCCACCUCGACUUCAACCCUGCCGCGCUAGGCUGUGAGAUACGCGUCCUCAAGGUGGUACGCUGGCGCCUCGCGGAGUAGGAGCCCACGCCGCCUUGGAACAUAGGUUGCUGAUGACGGUUCAGCUCAUUUGCUAUAGGCGACUAUAUGCAACGUAUAACAAUCUGUCGUCUACGUGUGGAUCUCAGUUUUUUUUCUCCUCUCCCUUCUUCCUCUACCUCCGCCACUAGGUUAGGAUCUUUGGACGUGAGGUUGUCGGGAAGCUCCAAUGGCUUCCGACUUUAGAGGAGGGGUGGUGUGGAGGUGGGUGGGUUGGGUGGGGGAGGGGGGGGGAGCGCUCGGAAGCCUGGCGGCGGAGGUGGGUUGCCGGGCGGCGCGGUGCGGCGGCGGGGACGCUGCUGACCUAGGGACUGGGCAGGGGCGAGGUGUGGGCUUUCUCCGGUGAGCAGCCGCCACGUUAGCUGCCACCGGAGAAGGUGUUGGAGGGCGGCACGGGGGCGAGUAGGGGAGAGGAAGCAAAGGAACAACGGCGGCGGCGAAUAAUCCUACCGGAAACGGAGGUGGCGGCGGCGGCGGCGCAGGGAUAGGCUGGCGGUGGUUGUAGGCCGAGUGCUCGCUGAAGGCAGCACUGUGCCCUUCAGCAAUGCAUAGGCGCGCCCUCAAUUGCCCCUACUCAAGAUCCCGACUUGGCCGCCACCCACGACUGUGUGUUUGGGUUUGUCAGGUCCGUCCCUCAAUUGCCCCUACUUAAGAUCCCGACUUGGCCACCACCCACAGCUGUGUGUUUGGGUUUGUCAGGUUAGUCAGUAUGGUGUUUAGUUACGCGGCAAGCCAAGGCUGCAAAGAGGCGUGCCAGUCCAGUCAAGUUUUGGGUUGAGAAGGUAUCAUAGGGAAGUUAGCUACUCCUUCUGUUCCAAUUUAAUUGCACUUGUAAUAAGAAUAUUCCAAAUUAAACGCAACAAUAGCUGCUGCGUGAGCAUCAGCGUACAGCAAAAAUAUCCCAAUGUUCCAGCUAGGCUAGCAUGCACCAGUAUACGUGGGUCCCAUUUGUUAAAAAAAUUCUGAGCAGCUAGCCAUCCUCCGCUUGAAAGUCUAAGGCGGUUUGGUUACCUGCUUAUUUUUAGCACCCGUCACAUCGAAUGUUUAGAUACUAAUUAGAAGUAUCAAACGUAGACUAUUUACAAAACCCAUUACAUAAGUGGAGGCUAAACGGGGAGACGAAUCUAUUAAGCCUAAUUAGUCCAUGAUUUGACAAUGUGUUGCUACAGUAAAUAUUUGCUAAUGAUGGCUUAAUUAGGCUUAAUAGAUUCGUCUCGCCGUUUAGCCUCCACUUAUGUAAUAGGUUUUGUAAAUAGUCUACAUUUAAUACUCCUAAUUAGUAUCUAAAUAUUCGAUGUGACACAUGCUAAAAAUAAGCAAAAGUAACCAAAUGCCCCUAAAAGUUCCGGUUUCUUCCACACCUACGUAGAGCAUACUACUGCAAUAAUUGCUGUUGUUUCCCAGGAUAUCUGUUACCUAGAAUAAGGGUAACUAGACAGGUUAGCACGCCAUGCGUGCCUCUAACGAAGAUGUUACCUCGAAGUAAUAUUAAAAAUACUUGCCUCUAACAAAGAUGUUAGAGACUCGAAGUAUAAUAAAAAAUACAUAUUCUUUUCAUGCUGAAAUAGGGUCACAUCGUUAUAAAAGGCGAAUCAUACAUCAAAUCAAAUUAUAAAAACAAUCAAAAUAAAAUCUAAAAUUGAAUUGAUUGCAUCCAAAUCCAAAUUCACUCAAAAUCAACUACUCCGGAUCCUUGCAUCGUACUGGUCCUCUAAGUGCUGCACAAUAACUUUCUUAUCUGAGAAUUCACCGUCUUUAGGCAUCUAGUAUAUGCUACACCACUCCAUGGUUUCGAUAAAAAACACGGAAUUAAUAAUACAUGAUUUAAGUAGAUAUUGCAAACUUAUUGUUAUUUGCAGAAGCAAAGUUGAAAAAGUAGUUACACUGUUACAGUAUCACAAUUAAAAGCAGCAUGCAAAGUGUGUAUGUAGUAGUAGUAGAUUAUAUAGUUGUUACAAUAUUUGGAAGUUCAGAAUAAGUAUUAUUAAACUAAUAAGCUGGCAUAUAUAUUUCUAUUUAGAAAGAACAUGGCUACAUCUUCUUUCUUGAUGGAUAUGUGGACGACGGAACCACAUUGGCAUUCGUUGGGAAACAUUUUUGAUCAUCCGACUCCACCGAUUAACUGGAUAUUCUCGAGCAAUAGAAAAAUAUCAAGCACAAUGCUAUAGUACUGCAGCCCACUCGAUGCCACGACAACCAGUAAAAAAAAGUCGAGGACCAUAAGCUAUACUGUUUUGAAAAAAGGAUAACGAAUAAUGUCGUGCAUAGCAUGGUGAAUGACAGUUACAGUGUUUCUCUAUUUUUUAUACACGACAGUACGCACAUGGCUUGGUAGUUGCAAUAGUCAUCCAGUAGACCAGCACAGCACGCAUGACUGGAACCUUCGCGGCACAAGUAGAAAGUGCUACAAUGUUUACUAUAGUACAUGCGGCACAACAAUGCCACGUAGAUAGAGAGCAGGCUGGUCCUUGAGCUUUGUUGCAUACGUACGGAUGAAUCCAUCUGCUAGUGACUGCAUGAAAAGAAUUAUUAAAAAAGCUACAGGAACCUACGCCCCUGGAAUCCCUCAAAAUCUAAGAGCCUUAAGUAUAAGGUAUUGUUAGGGGUGUUUGGUUAUUUAGGUCACAUCGAAUAUUUAAAUACUAAUUAG